AAGAUAAGUCAGUUCCACUUUCAAACACAACAUAUAAAGCAGAUCCCAUAUCUGGGAAGAGAGAUGCAGGAUGGUGGAGGAAUGCUAAGGGCUUCCAUGAUUGAUGGUGCAGUGUGGCUCCUCUUGAGUCCUACAGACCACUUCAAAUCACCUCACAGCAUGGGAGCUAGGAAGAAAUGUAAACGUGAAGGCAGAUGUAGUGGGAUCAUGCCCAGCACUUAAGAGUCUAAGGCUCUAGGAUUUUGUGGAGUUCGACACCAACCUCAUCCACCUAGUGAAUACCACCCAGACUACUCUAAAUAAGUUCCUGAACUAAUGAAUAAACAAAUAUUUCAAAGCAA